rnacentral:lncRNA from 1 species
CACCAGCACUGCUCUGUGUUCCUCUUCCCCCUUCUAGGGUUAGAAGUCAUGAGGGUUCAAGCUAUGCUGUGCAGAAGUGAGCUCAGUGCUAUGGCAUGGAAUUAAAGAUCUGAUCUAUACACCCAGGUAACUAACUAGACUAAUUGUGCAAUAUAAGUUUCCAUCUUAAACCUUUUUCUGAUUUUGUCAUGCAUCAGCAUAAUAGUAGUAAUACUAUGAUCUGGUCACCCUCGCCCAUGAAUCUUUCAGCUUUGCUUUCUGAAGAUUGUGUUGAUCUCCUAGAUCUCAUGGUGCAGUAGGGGACUAUAUACAUAAAACACCUUUAGUUGUGCUCAUCUAGAUCUCUUUUCUUUCUCUGUUGGACUUCAAUGCUUUGAACUUUUGAUCCUCGCGGAACAUGAAAUACAAGAGUUAGCAUAAAUCUUGUUAUGGCUUGAUUGCAGCAUGCUCAAUCUGUUAUUCUAGUUUGAUGAAUCAUCUACACGUGUUUUCAUGUUCUUGCUUCUGUCUGUGGUGCGUCUCAGAUAUCACUCUGGAUCUGUUGAAAAAAGUUUAUUUUAAGCUGCCACUAAAUAUGAGCACUUCACGGUAGCGAUAAUAUAGCAAGUAGUUAUUAUUUCUUGUGAGCAAUAGUUGAUAUUUCAUCAAACUAAUCUUCAUGUGUUAUUUUGCAGGUUUUGCAUGGGAGGGCAGCAAGCUAGAGGCGGCAACUGCAUAACUUGCGACAAACUUGUAAGAUUUCUUGAGAAGCUCUAAAAAAAUAAAACAUUGUCAAUUACCAUGACAAUUUUUCAGAGUAAUUAGACACAUAUAUAUUUUAUCAUCUCUUCUUGGCCUAUUUACCUUAACAGGUCUGUACUGUCAACUAGGGCAGGAGACCAAACUGUCAUUUGCAGAAAGGUUUUUAAGUAAAAGUAAAACAUCGUUUUGACAACAAUUUGUCGUCCAUGAUUGUGCCCCUUUCUAAGACAUUAUUUUGUCACUUAAGUUUUCAAAAUUCUUGAGCAUUGGCAUUUGCUCAAUUGCUCUCUAUGAUAUCCUUGAGGAAUAGGAGUGCAUUACUAAAUAUUGACUAAAGAAGCUAUGCAUACUAAAACAAUGUGCUGCUGAAAAAUAGCCAUAGAUUUGGAUCUCAUAUGUGAUGGAAAUUGUUGUGAGACCUCGACAUGUACAUGAACCUCAUAUAUGAUGCAUAAAUGUUAUGAUAGGAUGAAUUCCUAUAUGAUAUGAUAUGAUAUGCAAUAGAGAGAAUCAGUUAUGAUGAACUUACAUUGAUAUGGAGCUUCUCUAAUAUGGUGACGGUCUUGGUAAAUGAUUCAUACCAUGUUAGAAUUCAGCAUCCAUGCUCUGAAGUACUAAUGUUACUUGCGCCAAAGUACUUCAUUAAUAUUUCAUACUGAAGCAACUAUAGCUGUACAUAACGUUAAUGAUCCCGUAUACAUAUAUGCUCAUGCUCAUGAACUCCCAUGGGUUAGCCAAAACCAUGCAAGUAGCCUAUAUCUAUGCAUGAGAACUACUAUCUUGAAUUGCAUGAUGUUUUUAAGGUAUACCCAAGAGAGUGCAUUUAUUCAUGACUACCAUGAUUUGUUUGCUGCAGGUUGGACCAUGGUCGUGCUGAUGAUUUUAUCGCAAGUUAUGCAGUUGCUGCCUCAAGCUUGCUGCCUCCCUUUGCCAAACCAGAAGGGAUCAUAUGAAGUUCAUUCGUAUAGAGACCUUCCAUAGGCCCAUAGCCAUGUAUCGUAGAUUUAUCCUGAGAGAUCAAAGAGAAAGACUGAUGCCAGAAGGCUAUGUACAAUCUAUCAGUUUGUUAGGGCAAGCUAGCUGCUCAUGUAUGGAUGGUUAAGUUGUUCCCAUUGCUGAAAAAAUAAUGAAAUACUUAUGUUGCUGAGUUUUUUUUGUUCUUUUGUGUAUUCAAAAUAGUUCUGAUUCUGCUCUAUAUGAGGCUAUGAGCAAAGGGCACGUGAUAAGAU